GAAAGAAACCAACAGGGAUUCCUCAGUAACGGCGAGUGAAGCGGCAACAGCUCAAAUUUGAAAUCUGGCGCCCCUGGGCGUCCGAGUUGUAAUUUGCAGAGGAUGCUUCGGUACCGGCGCUGCUCCAGGUUCUUUGGAACAGGACGCCAUAGAGGGUGAGAGCCCCGUCUCUGGGCGGCAGUCGGUACCAUGUGAAGCGCCUUCGACGAGUCGAGUUGUUUGGGAAUGCAGCUCAAAAUGGGAGGUAAAUUUCUUCCAAGGCUAAAUACAGGCCGGAGACCGAUAGCGCACAAGUAGAGUGAUCGAAAGAUGAAAAGUACUUUGGAAAGAGAGUCAAACAGCGCGUGAAAUUGUUGAAAGGGAAGCGCUUGCAGUCAGACUUGGCCGCCCGGUUCGGCGGGGUCUCGCACCCCGUCUACGCCGUGGCGAUCAGGCCAGCAUCGGUUCGGACGACUGGAUAAAGGCCGCGGGAACGUAGCUCUCUUCGGGGAGUGUUAUAGCCCACGGCACAAUACGGCCAGUCCGGACCGAGGAACGCGCAUCUGCUCGGAUGCUGGCGUAAUGGCUGCAAGCGGCCCGUCUUGAAACACGGACCAAGGAGUCUAACAUCUGUGCGAGUGUUUGGGUGUCAAGCCCUUGCGCGUAAUGAAAGUGAACGGAGGUGGGAGCCCUCGGGCGCACCAUCGACCGAUCCUGAUGUCUUCGGAAGGAUUUGAGUAAGAGCACAGCUGUUGGGACCCGAAAGAUGGUGAACUAUGCCUAAGCAGGGUGAAGCCAGAGGAAACUCUGGUGGAGGCUCGCAGCGGUUCUGACGUGCAAAUCGAUCGUCAAAUUUGGGUAUAGGGGCGAAA
rnacentral:rRNA from 1 species